GGGGCCGACUGGUUUCGACCGGACAUGCGAUGUAUGACGUGGCGCGUCGAGGUGUACGCAGGCCUCGUAAAACAGCGUACAAAACCAUAAAUGCCAACGACUCUGUCGCUGGUCGGAUCGGCUUCGCGCCGGCCCGCCUGGCUGCGUAAUAGCAGUCACAUGCUCAGCCAAGUCAUCCCGAGCGCGGCUGAGCGUGCAAGGUAUUCGGGAUCGUCCAACGGCGGCGUCACAGCGCCCGCGGAUUAAAAAACACUGCGACUGGAUCGCCGGUAUGCUGUCGCUGGCAGACUGAACGAUCGAGAUUAAAUCAGCGAAUACACGUGUAGAAGCGUCAUGCUGACUGUCACGGGACGGGGGUUCGAUUCCCCCCGGCUCCACUU
rnacentral:tmRNA from 1 species